rnacentral:rRNA from 1 species
GACGAACGCUGGCGGCGUGCUUAACACAUGCAAGUCGAACGGUAAGGCCCUUCGGGGUACACGAGUGGCGAACGGGUGAGUAACACGUGGGUGAUCUGCCCUGCACUUCGGGAUAAGCCUGGGAAACUGGGUCUAAUACCGGAUAGGACCCUGGGAUGCAUGUCCUGGGGUGGAAAGCUUUUGCGGUGUGGGAUGGGCCCGCGGCCUAUCAGCUUGUUGGUGGGGUGAUGGCCUACCAAGGCGACGACGGGUAGCCGGCCGGAGAUGGGGACCGGCCACACUGGGACUGAGAUACGGCCCAGACUCCUACGGGAGGCAGCAGUGGGGAAUAUUGCACAAUGGGCGCAAGCCUGAUGCAGCGACGCCGCGUGAGGGAUGACGGCCUUCGGGUUGUAAACCUCUUUCAGCACCGACGAAGCGCAAGUGACGGUAGGUGCAGAAGAAGGACCGGCCAACUACGUGCCAGCAGCCGCCGUAA